rnacentral:rRNA from 1 species
AGUGAACGCUGGUGGCAGGCCUAACACAUGCAAGUCGAGCGGCAGCGCGGGGGCAACCCUGGCGGCGAGCGGCGGACGGGUGAGGAAUUCGUCGGAAUCUGCCUUUUUGUGGGGGAUAACGUAGGGAAACUUACGCUAAUACCGCAUACGUCCUACGGGAGAAAGUGGGGGACCGCAAGGCCUCACGCAGAAAGAUGAGCCGACGACCGAUUAGCUAGUUGGUGGGGUAAAGGCCCACCAAGGCGACGAUCGGUAGCUGGUCUGAGAGGAUGAUCAGCCACACUGGGACUGAGACACGGCCCAGACUCCUACGGGAGGCAGCAGUGGGGAAUAUUGGACAAUGGGCGCAAGCCUGAUCCAGCCAUGCCGCGUGUGUGAAGAAGGCCUUCGGGUUGUAAAGCACUUUUGUCCGGAAAGAAAUCCCUGGAGCUAAUACCUUCGGGGGAUGACGGUACCGGAAGAAUAAGCACCGGCUAACUUCGUG